CGUAGGGUGCAAGCGUUAAUCGGAAUUACUGGGCGUAAAGCGUGCGCAGGCGGUAAUGUAAGACAGGUGUGAAAUCCCCGGGCUUAACCUGGGAACUGCAUUUGUGACUGCAUUGCUGGAGUGCGGCAGAGGGGGAUGGGAAUUCCGCGUGUAGCAGUGAAAUGCGUAGAUAUGCGGAGGAACACCGAUGGCGAAGGCAAUCCCCUGGGCCUGCACUGACGCUCAUGCACGAAAGCGUGGGGAGCAAACAGGAUUAGAUACCCUGGUAGUCCACGCCCUAAACGAUGUCAACUGGUUGUUGGUCCUUCACUGGAUCAGUAACGAAGCUAACGCGUGAAGUUGACCGCCUGGGGAGUACGGCCGCAAGGUUG
rnacentral:rRNA from 1 species